rnacentral:rRNA from 1 species
UACAGAGGGUGCGAGCGUUAAUCGGAUUUACUGGGCGUAAAGCGCGCGUAGGUGGUUUGUUAAGUUGGAUGUGAAAUCCCCGGGCUCAACCUGGGAACUGCAUCCAAAACUGACAAGCUAGAGUAUGGUAGAGGGUGGUGGAAUUUCCUGUGUAGCGGUGAAAUGCGUAGAUAUAGGAAGGAACACCAGUGGCGAAGGCGACCACCUGGACUGAUAACUGACACUGAGGUGCGAAAGCGUGGGGAGCAAACAGG